AGCGCGCGAGCGGGGACGCAGGGAGUUAGCAAGUUAGUUAGCAGUGUAGCAGUGAACGUACAGUUCAAUGUAUUUGCACUUUAAAGGGUUUGGCAGUAAAUAAAUGCUACGACUCCUUAAGAUCCAAGUUGCUGCGUCUCACCUGUGCUUCCAAACAACAGUCCAAACUAUGAGCCAGGAAACGUUAACAACACUGAGACAGGAAGGUCGUCCAGGCAGAGACCAGCAAUAUACAGAGAGACUUUGAGCACAGGAAAGACAGGCAGCACAAAAUCAUGAGACAAGAAUGGCCCUGAAUUUAAGAGAGAUUUGCCACUGCUGCUCAUGAAAAGCUCGGCGGCUCUGCCAGCAGAGAUCUGACCCAUGGGUAAACCUGCCGUUCGUCAGCGCUGACUCACACCAAGAUGACGGAGGAUGGAGGAGGAGGAGGAGGGCAAAUAAGACGGAGUGGUAACGAAGGAAAGCUGUGGUUUAUGUUGGAUAUUUACACAAAGAUGCGGAGGGAGUGAAGAUGAGAGAUGGAGAGACAGACAAACACUCAUGGACAGAUGGAGACUUAGAGACAGAGGGAGUGAAAGAGAAAAUGAGGGAAGGAAAGUGACAGAUGUACAGACAAACAAACUGGGAUCGAGGGGUGAAGAUGUCAGAGGCAGCCCUGGGAUGUUGGUGGAUGGCAACAAUCAAAAAAAAAGACUGAACUCCAUUAUUGUUAUUCAGCUGGCACUCCUGGGUGUUGUGGACAACGAUUUUAGCUGACUUGCCACAAACACAGCUCCUCGCUAAGUCUUGGCCUUGGAGGCUGCGAGGGAGACCCGGACGCUGUGGGAGUUUUCUCCACUGCUUGAGUCAGCACAGCCAAGGUUUGUGCUGACUGUAGCUGAGUGAGGCCUCAGCACCCUGCACCUUCAGAGAGCGAGGGAAUAUCAUUACCUCCAAUCAAACCUGCAGACUAUGAAUGGCAAUGAGGAAAAAAAAAAAGCCUGUGAAUAAGCUAACUGAAAUUUGCUCAUCUGUACAUUCAUAACACCCUCGGCACAGCAAUGCCACUCUGUUGCACUGCCCGAGUCUGUACGGCGCAUUUUGAAUUCAGCACACGAGGCCGUCUGCAGUCUGUUUCAUCAAAAGUUUAAAAUGGAAAGCUUCAGUACAAGAACUGAUCUUUCAAAGUUAAGUUUUCAAAUAUUCACCGUCUGUGUUUAAGUUAGAGAACAGGCUACAUUUUACAUUGUUUGGAUGAGGAUCCCAACUGAUAAAAUCUGCAAAUAUAGAAGUUAAGACAUUCACCAAAGACGGUAAACACUGUCUUCGCAGUGUAUCACUGUUGCAUUUGAUGUGCUGCUUGUUGAGUGAGCCACAGUCAACAGCAGAGCGCUUGUUUGUUGGCAGAGUUGUAUUGGAAUUGUAUUAUUGCAUGCAACUAAGCCACAAAAUUUUAAGUACAAGGAGCUUGUCAAGUCAGAAAUGUUUCCAUUCUCUGGAGAGCUGUUGUCAAAAUUUUUUAGGGGGCUCUGUAGGAAAUAUUCCCUUAGCAUCACAAAGAUAUCAAACCACUCCUUUAAAAAUUUAAACAAAGUAAAGAGAAAUAUCAGAUGGCAUCUUUAAAACAUUCAAAUGGAAAUGUGGCACACUUCUUUCAAGUGUGUAGGCUACAUUUUUUUUCAUCCAUUGGAUACAAAUGUUUUUUGUUUUCAAAGGCAGUGAUGCCAUCAAAGUACCUCUCUGCCUCAGGGUUUAUUAAAAUUUUCCUACUUUUUAUAAUAGAGCAGUUCUCUGCCUCCCCAGAAUCAUUUUAAUGCUACUCUUACUAAAGAUUCACAUACCUCAGAUUACAAACUCAUAGAGGCUAUUGACUUUCCAUAAAAGCGUAAUACAAAUUUCCGUCACCACAUAUUUAGGGGUGAAAGUGUAUUUCUGCCUCUUAAAGCUUGUGUGACAACCUUUUCUCCCUUGUUCUUUUUGUACUUAAAGCAUUUUAAAAGCAUUUGAGGAAACUCGGAACCCUGUGGAGUUCAAUGGUAUUGACCAUAUUAUGGUUGGAAAAGUACAC